AACGCACCUUGCGCUCCUAGGUUUUCCGAGGAGCAUGCCUGUUUGAGUGCCCAUUACUUCUCUCGACCCUAUCAUUAUUGGUUGGGUCGGAUGUUGGGGGUUCUGCCGUGUAUUCACGGCUCUCCCCAAAUGUGUCAGCUUGUGGGGGACGAAACCGCCGUCGGCUUGAUAGACAUCUAUGCCACUGGGGUUCGACCGUAACACGGCUUCACAAUCGUCCCUAGGGACAAUGUAAUUUCGGUAUUCGGGCCUCAAAUCAGGUAGGACUACCCGCUGAACUUAA
rnacentral:misc_RNA from 1 species